UUUAAAAUCUUCAUUUGCAGUUCAUGUAACAGUUGUGUCUUAAAAUUCACAUAAUAAAGCAGUCCUGUUCAAAAAAAAAAUUUUUUUUUUGUGGCUUGUAGAAUUUUUUAAAAGUGUAUUUAGGGCUUUUUGUUUUUUGUUUGUUUUUUUGUUUUGUUUUUCAUGUGGAAUGCAGAUGGGUGCUAGAGGAGCCUCUCCCACAUCACUAUAGUGUAAUAUUAUUACACCACACUGAAAUGUAUUCAGAAACAGAUGUUUCAAUUUCAUUCUUUCUCCAGAGGUGGUCCAGUUGUACCAAUGAUACUAUUCCUUGCACUGAAUAUAUAUAAACACUCUUCAGUGUUUAUAUUGGGGAAAUACUGGGAAAGAAAUAUAUUUGUUAAGGAUGAAGGCUGUAUCUGUUGUCUUUAUAAACACUGGUUCAUUUCUUUUGAGGGUGGAAUGCAUUUUUCUUCCUGUUCAGUGCUUUAUCACCAUCUGUUGUUUGUGGUCACAGUGACCAUAGCUAUGUAGCGGACGUUUCCAAAUGUAUAGAGUGAAAUAAACAGUUACUAGCAAGAAAUGAAUACAUGUCUGCAGGUUUCUCCUUGAAGCAAACAUGGGGAUGAUUGCUUUUCUAGAAAUCGGUUUAUCUGUUUCAUCAUUCUACAUUGACAUUGUUUUGUGCCUACUUUAUAUUCACCCAGGCUGUACAAUGACAGGUUUAUUUAUGUCACUGGUGGUGGUCAUUGCCUUUUUGGGUCCCUCUUCCUCCCUCAAGGUUCCAUUGAAGCUCCAGCCUCCUUAAAUACCUGACUCGUUAGUAAAUGAUCAGCAGUCUUCAGCUCUUAAAAAAAGCGUAGAGGGCAGGUAUUGUAGCUGAGUAGGUAGAACUGCUAAGCGUGUGCAAGGUUCCGUGGGUCUGAUUCCUGGCACUGAAUUAAGAUAGAUAAAGGCCCUUAUAUUCUGAUUUUCUAUGCUGGACUCCUUGUUGUAAAAUGUCCAUGCCAGUAGUACUCUUCUAUUGUCCACUUUUCAGAUUGUCACACUGCUAAAUGACAUUAUAUUAAAGCCCGUGUUAAAUAUCUGUAUC
rnacentral:lncRNA from 1 species